rnacentral:rRNA from 1 species
UUAAGUUAUUAAGGGCGCACGGUGGAUGCCUUGGCACUAGAAGCCGAUGAAGGACGUUACUAACGACGAUAUGCUUUGGGUAGCUGUAAGUAAGCGUUGAUCCAGAGAUUUCCGAAUGGGGGAACCCAGCAUGAGUUAUGUCAUGUUAUCGACAUGUGAAUUCAUAGCAUGUCAGAAGGCAGACCCGGAGAACUGAAACAUCUUAGUACCCGGAGGAAGAGAAAGAAAAAUCGAUUCCCUGAGUAGCGGCGAGCGAAACGGGAAGAGCCCAAACCAACAAGCUUGCUUGUUGGGGUUGUAGGACACUCUAUACGGAGUUACAAAAGAACAUGUUAGACGAAUCAUCUGGAAAGAUGAAUCAAAGAAGGUAAUAAUCCUGUAGUCGAAAACAUAUUCUCUCUUGAGUGGAUCCUGAGUACGACGGAGCACGUGAAAUUCCGUCGGAAUCUGGGAGGACCAUCUCCUAAGGCUAAAUACUCUCUAGUGACCGAUAGUGAACCAGUACCGUGAGGGAAAGGUGAAAAGUACCCCGGAAGGGGAGUGAAAGAGAACUUGAAACCGUGUGCUUACAAGUAGUCAGAGCCCGUUAAUGGGUGAUGGCGUGCCUUUUGUAGAAUGAACCGGCGAGUUACGAUCUGAUGCAAGGUUAAGCAGCAAAUGUGGAGCCGCAGCGAAAGCGAGUCUGAAUAGGGCGUUGAGUAUUUGGUCGUAGACCCGAAACCAGGUGAUCUACCCUUGGUCAGGUUGAAGUUCAGGUAACACUGAAUGGAGGACCGAACCGACUUACGUUGAAAAGUGAGCGGAUGAACUGAGGGUAGCGGAGAAAUUCCAAUCGAACUUGGAGAUAGCUGGUUCUCUCCGAAAUAGCUUUAGGGCUAGCCUCAAGUGAUGAUUAUUGGAGGUAGAGCACUGUUUGGACGAGGGGCCCCUCUCGGGUUACCGAAUUCAGACAAACUCCGAAUGCCAAUUAAUUUAACUUGGGAGUCAGAACAUGGGUGAUAAGGUCCGUGUUCGAAAGGGAAACAGCCCAGACCACCAGCUAAGGUCCCAAAAUAUAUGUUAAGUGGAAAAGGAUGUGGCGUUGCCCAGACAACUAGGAUGUUGGCUUAGAAGCAGCCAUCAUUUAAAGAGUGCGUAAUAGCUCACUAGUCGAGUGACACUGCGCCGAAAAUGUACCGGGGCUAAACAUAUUACCGAAGCUGUGGAUUGUCCUUUGGACAAUGGUAGGAGAGCGUUCUAAGGGCGUCGAAGCAUGAUCGCAAGGACAUGUGGAGCGCUUAGAAGUGAGAAUGCCGGUGUGAGUAGCGAAAGACGGGUGAGAAUCCCGUCCACCGAUUGACUAAGGUUUCCAGAGGAAGGCUCGUCCGCUCUGGGUUAGUCGGGUCCUAAGCUGAGGCCGACAGGCGUAGGCGAUGGAUAACAGGUUGAUAUUCCUGUACCACCUAGUAUCGUUUUAAUCGAUGGGGGGACGCAGUAGGAUAGGCGAAGCGUGCUGUUGGAGUGCACGUCCAAGCAGUAAGGCUGAGUGUUAGGCAAAUCCGGCACUCAUAAGGCUGAGCUGUGAUGGGGAGAGGAAAUUGUUUCCUCGAGUCGUUGAUUUCACACUGCCGAGAAAAGCCUCUAGAUAGAUAACAGGUGCCCGUACCGCAAACCGACACAGGUAGUCAAGAUGAGAAUUCUAAGGUGAGCGAGCGAACUCUCGUUAAGGAACUCGGCAAAAUGACCCCGUAACUUCGGGAGAAGGGGUGCUCUUUAGGGUUCACGCCCAGAAGAGCCGCAGUGAAUAGGCCCAAGCGACUGUUUAUCAAAAACACAGGUCUCUGCUAAACCGUAAGGUGAUGUAUAGGGGCUGACGCCUGCCCGGUGCUGGAAGGUUAAGAGGAGUGGUUAGCUUCUGCGAAGCUACGAAUCGAAGCCCCAGUAAACGGCGGCCGUAACUAUAACGGUCCUAAGGUAGCGAAAUUCCUUGUCGGGU